CCAAUUUGUGGCUGCAGUAGAGAAAAAGAAAAAAGCCCCGCAAGGAAACUACCAACAGAUGAUGAAAUGAACAUCCUUUCCACAGCGAUGCAGUAUAGACAUUUCCAACACAAGGACCCUUCUCCCCAUUGACAAGAGAGUUCCUUGCUAAAUCAUAGUUCUGUCACCAGCACAUGCAUUGGGUACAGCUUCCUACCUUCCCUCGUGCAUCUUCCUGAGAGCUGGAGAUGACGAGAUCCUCUACUUGUAUUCCCCAGUGAAAAGCUGACAACACUCUAUUGUCUGCC